CAAUAGCGUAUAUUAAAGUUGUUGCAGUUAAAAAGCUCGUAGUUGGAUUUGUGGCGUACGGUGUGUUCCGGGCACUUGUUGUCUGAGUAACCUGCUGUUGCCAUCCUUGGGUGGAACCUGUGUGGCAUUAGGUUGUCGUGCAGGGGAUGCCCAUCAUUUACUGUGAAAAAAUUAGAGUGUUCAAAGCAGGCUUAUGCCGUUGAAUAUAUUAGCAUGGAAUAAUGAGGUAGGACUUUUUUGCUAUUUUGUUGGUUUGCGCAAAGAGGUAAUGAUUAAUAGGGACAGUUGGGGGUAUUCGUAUUCCAUUGUUAGAGGUGAAAUUCUUGGAUUUUUGGAAGACGAACUACUGCGAAAGCAUUUACCAAGGAUGUUUUCAUUAA
rnacentral:rRNA from 1 species